UCGGACGUGGUGUAUGAAACACGGCCUCUUUCUGUGCGCCGUAAAACACACAUGCGGGAGGCAAUCCCGGGUUCGACUCCCGGCGUCCGAA